CCUACGGUCGGCUGCAGUUAGGAAUAUUGGUCAAUGGGCGCGCGCCUGAACCAGCCAAGUCGCGUGAGGGAAGACGGCCCUACGGGUUGUAAACCUCUUUUGCCGGGGAGCAACGGGCGCCACGUGUGGCGCCACUGAGAGUACCCGGAGAACAAGCAUCGGCUAACUCCGUGCCAGCAGCCGCGGUAAUACGGAGGAUGCGAGCGUUAUCCGGAUUGAUGGGGUUUAAAGGGUACGUAGGCGGGGCGUUAAGUCAGUGGUCAAAUUGAGGGGCUCAACCCCUUCCCGCCAUUGAAACUGGCGCUCUUGAGUGGAAGAGAAGUAUGCGGAAUGCGUGGUGUAGCGGUGAAAUGCAUAGAUAUCACGCAGAACCCCGAUUGCGAAGGCAGCAUGCCGGCUUCCUACUGACGCUGAAGCACGAAAGCGUGGGGAUCGAACAGGAUUAGAUACCCUAGUAGUC
rnacentral:rRNA from 1 species